rnacentral:rRNA from 1 species
CCUACGGGUGGCUGCAGUGGGGAAUAUUGGACAAUGGGCGAAAGCCUGAUCCAGCCAUGCCGCGUGAGUGACGAAGGUCUUCGGAUUGUAAAGCUCUUUUGGCGGGGACGAUAAUGACGGUACCCGCAGAAUAAGCCCCGGCUAACUUCGUGCCAGCAGCCGCGGUAAUACGAAGGGGGCUAGCGUUGUUCGGAAUUACUGGGCGUAAAGCGCACGUAGGCGGACUUAUAAGUCAGGGGUGAAAUCCCGGGGCUCAACCUCGGAACUGCCUUUGAUACUGUAAGUCUUGAGACCGGAAGAGGUGAGUGGAAUUCCUAGUGUAGAGGUGAAAUUCGUAGAUAUUAGGAAGAACACCAGUGGCGAAGGCGGCUCACUGGUCCGGUUCUGACGCUGAGGUGCGAAAGCGUGGGGAGCAAACAGGAUUAGAUACCCUAGUAGUC